rnacentral:rRNA from 1 species
AGUGAACGCUGGCGGUAGGCCUAACACAUGCAAGUCGAACGGCAGCACAGGAGAGCCUGCUCUCUGGGUGGCGAGUGGCGGACGGGUGAGGAAUACAUCGGAAUCUACUCUGUCGUGGGGGAUAACGUAGGGAAACUUACGCUAAUACCGCAUACGACCUACGGGUGAAAGCAGGGGACCUUCGGGCCUUGCGCGAUUGAAUGAGCCGAUGUCGGAUUAGCUAGUUGGCGGGGUAAAGGCCCACCAAGGCGACGAUCCGUAGCUGGUCUGAGAGGAUGAUCAGCCACACUGGAACUGAGACACGGUCCAGACUCCUACGGGAGGCAGCAGUGAGGAAUAUUGGACAAUGGGCGCAAGCCUGAUCCAGCCAUACCGCGUGGGUGAAGAAGGCCUUCGGGUUGUAAAGCCCUUUUGUUGGGAAAGAAAUCCAGCUGGCUAAUACCCGGUUGGGAUGACGGUACCCAAAGAAUAAGCACCGGCUAACUUCGUGCCAGCCGCCGCGGUAA